UACGUAGGGUGCGAGCGUUGUCCGGAAUUACUGGGCGUAAAGAGCUCGUAGGUGGUUUGUCGCGUUGUUCGUGAAAACUCACAGCUUAACUGUGGGCGUGCGGGCGAUACGGGCAGACUGGAGUACUGCAGGGGAGACUGGAAUUCCUGGUGUAGCGGUGGAAUGCGCAGAUAUCAGGAGGAACACCGGUGGCGAAGGCGGCUCUCUGGGACGUGACUGACGCUGAGACGCGAAAGCGUGGGGAGCAAACAGG
rnacentral:rRNA from 1 species